rnacentral:rRNA from 1 species
CUGGGCGUAAGCGCACGCAGGCGGUCUGUUAAGUCAGAUGUGAAAUCCCCGGGCUUAACCUGGGAACUGCAUUUGAAACUGGCAGGCUUGAGUCUCGUAGAGGGGGGUAGAAUUCCAGGUGUAGCGGUGAAAUGCGUAGAGAUCUGGAGGAAUACCGGUGGCGAAGGCGGCCCCCUGGACGAAGACUGACGCUCAGGUGCGAAAGCGUGGGGAGCAAACAGGAUUAGAUACCCUGGUAGUCCACGCCGUAAACGAUGUCGACUUGGAGGUUGUUCCCUUGAGGAGUGGCUUCCGGAGCUAACGCGUUAAGUCGACCGCCUGGGGAGUACGGCCGCAAGGUUAAAACUCAAAUGAAUUGACGGGGGCCCGCACAAGCGGUGGAGCAUGUGGUUUAAUUCGAUGC